rnacentral:rRNA from 1 species
GACGAACGCUGGCGGCGUGCUUAACACAUGCAAGUCGAACGGUGAAGCGCCUUCCUUUAUGGUGGGUGUGGAUGAGUGGCGAACGGGUGAGUAACACGUGAGUAACCUGCCCCCUUCUUCUGGAUAACCGCAUGAAAGUGUGGCUAAUACGGGAUAUUCUGGGUCUGUCGCAUGAUGGGUCUGGGAAAGAUAUUGUUUCGGUGGGGGAUGGGCUCGCGGCCUAUCAGCUUGUUGGUGGGGUGAUGGCCUACCAAGGCGGUGACGGGUAGCCGGCCUGAGAGGGUGGACGGUCACACUGGGACUGAGACACGGCCCAGACUCCUACGGGAGGCAGCAGUGGGGAAUAUUGCACAAUGGGCGCAAGCCUGAUGCAGCGACGCCGCGUGAGGGAUGGAGGCCUUCGGGUUGUGAACCUCUUUCGCCAGUGAAGCAGGCCUGCCUCGUUUGUGGGUGGGUUGACGGUAGCUGGAUAAGAAGCGCCGGCUAACUACGUG